CCGUGCCUGCCGCAACCCCCAUGCCCCAUCCCCCUCCACCUGCCAAAAUAAAUCCAUGCGCUCUCCAGCUCGGUGCUGCAAUCCCAUCAAAAGCUAGGGUUUCACGCCUCUCCCGACUUCACAGUUCACAUUCCUCUCCUCCCCUUCCCACCUCCCCAACUCGGCCGCCGUAGACGCGGUGGCGCACGAACUGCCCUAGAUUUGAGCGAGCCACCCUGCGAAUCUUCACCUGACGCACAAAGUCUGUCAGAGACAGUGAAGAAUUCGAACACGAUCUUAAACAUCGUUGAUUAAGACCACACACAAACACAUCUACCUGGCUUCCCCCCUAUCAGUUGUUUUUGUGUGUUUUUUUUUGCUGUUUCGGACGAUUCAUAAGAACCGACCUGCAAGGCUUGCAGAUCUACCUUGAGAACCAGGGCCCUUGUUUUGGACGUCCAGAACGAACCCUUGACCCUGCGGAUCUGCUUGAUCCGUUUUGGAUCUGCUUGUUUUUUUGCUGGAUCUGGAGAGAAUGUUCAAGUCGAUGGUUUAUUACGUGAACACCUCAAUCGGAGAGGUGGAGGUGUGGCCCAAGGGCGAGGCGAGCGCGGGCCUGACCAUGGCGGCGUGGGCGCGAGAAAUCCGCGUUGAACGCAUUUCCCCGCCCAGCGAGCGGUGCCCUCCGCUGGCCGUCAUGCACACCGUGGCCGUCGGCGCCCGAUGCCUCGUCAUGGAGUCCAGGCCGCCCGUUGUCGCCGACGUUGUGCCGCCUCUCGUCGUCAUGCACACCGCUUGCCUCAGGGAGAACAAGACUGCGGUUGUUCCACUUGGAGAUGAAGAGUUGCAUUUAGUUGCGAUGACAUCCAGAAGAAACUUGACAAAUCAUGCAUGUUUCUGGGGCUAUAAAUUGCCAUUUGGUUUGUAUAAUUCUUGCUUGACCAUGUUAAAUCUUCGGUGCCUGGGUAUUGUAUUUGACCUUGAUGAGACAUUGAUUGUCGCCAAUACAUCACGGUCUUUUGAGGACAGAAUUGACGCACUUCAAAGAAAGCUGAGUAAUGAGACUGAUCCACAACGUAGGAAUGGUAUGCUAUCAGAGAUCAAGAGGUACCAGGAUGAUAAGUCCAUCCUAAAGCAAUAUAUAGAAGGUGAUCAGGUCUAUGAUGAUGGAAAAGUGUAUAAAGCACAACCUGAGAUUGUUCCACCAUUGUCUGAUAACCAGCAACCAAUGACACGUCCAGUUAUAAGAUUACAAGAUAAAAACAUUAUCCUGACAAGAAUAAAUCCUCUGAUUAGGGAUACCAGUGUGCUUGUAUGUUUAAGGCCAGCCUGGGAGGAUCUUCGCAGCUACUUAAUUGCCAGAGGUCGCAAGCGUUUUGAGGUCUAUGUGUGUACGAUGGCUGAAAGAGACUAUGCUUUAGAAAUGUGGAGAUUGCUUGAUCCAGAUUCAAGAUUGAUUAAUUCUGUUCAACUCCAUGAUCGGAUGGUGUGUGUAAAAUCUGGUUUAAAAAAGUCCUUGCUAAAUGUCUUCCAUGAUGGUUCUUGCCAUCCUGGUAUGGCAUUAGUAAUUGAUGAUCGCCUGAAAGUUUGGGAUGAGAAGGAUCAAUUACGAGUUCAUGUGGUUCCUGCAUUUACUCCAUAUUAUGCUCCUCAGGCGGAGGCAAAUUGUUCUAUCCCAGUUCUGUGUGUAGCCAGAAACGUUGCAUGCAAUGUUAGGGGUGGUUUCUUCAAAGACUUUGAUGAAGGCCUCUUACCAAGGAUUAGCAAUGUUCACUAUGAGGAUGAAGUAAAUGAGAUAUCUGCGCCAGAUGUUGGCAAUUAUUUGAUAACAGAUGAUGAAAAUGUCGCAUUAGUGAAUGGGAAUAGAGAUUCAUUGCCUUUUGAUGGUAUGGCAGAUGCAGAGGUUGAGCGGAGAAUGAAGGAAGCCAAUGCUCAAUCAUUCCAUCAAACAGCGGGAGACUUUGUCAUGCCAGUAGCCCCUGCCCAGAAUUUCGUUUCGACUUCAGUUGCAUCAUUAGCCCCACCUCUUGGCAUGAUGCCAUCUCCAUUUAGCCAGCCAGUUGCUCCACCAGGUUUUUCAGAUUCACUGCAAGGUUCUCCAGCUAGAGAAGAGGGUGAAGUUCCAGAGUCUGAGUUGGAUCCGGACACAAGGAGAAGGCUUCUUAUAUUACAGCAUGGCCAAGACACAAGAGAUCCUACAUCUCCACUACCAGCAAUACCACCCGUCCAAGUUCCAGUUCCUCCAGUGCAACCCCAUGGGAAUUGGUUUCCCACAGAGGAUGGGAUAAACCAAAGUAACCUGAAUAGAGGCUCAGCAGGAUUCACUGUAGAAUCUGAUUCUAUUGUCUAUGAGAAAAAGCAACCACCUCAUCCUUCAUUCUUUCAUGGUGGGGAUAGUCCUAUGCCGUCUGAUAGAUUUGGCUAUCAGAACCAGAGGUUUCCCUCUCAGCUACCACACGAGGAUCACCCCAUGAUGCAGAACCAUGCACCUCCAAAAUACAGAUCCUUUUCUGGUGAGGAACUAGCAUCUUGGCAUGUUCCCUCAAGCCAGAGAAACAACCAGAUAGAAUCAGGAAGACACUUUGCACAAUAUGCUGGGACCUCUGCUGGCAUAUUAGAGGGGAUUGCUCUGAAAUGUGGUUCUAAGGUGGAGUACAAGUCAGCAUUAUGUGAUACUGCAGAACUACAAUUCUCUAUUGAGGUUUGGAUUGUUGGGGAAAAGGUCGGUGAAGGAAUUGGUAGGACAAGGAGAGAAGCACAACGCCAAGCUGCAGAAAUGUCUUUAAGAAACUUGGCCAUAGCAACAGAAAUGUCUUUGGUUACUCUGGAAAUACGAGGGAUGAUAUGUUGCCACUUUCAAGUACUUCCGAGGAAUCUCGCUUUAUGAAAAUGGAGAACAAUAAUUCCCGGAAAACAGGAAGUUCUGUUGCUGCUCUCAAAGAACUUUGCACUGUUGAGGGAUAUAACUUAGUUUUUCAAGCCUGUCCAUCUUCAGCAGAUGGUUUAGUUGGGAAAGAAUCUUAUGCUCAGGUACAAGUUGGUGGACAAAUUCUAGGCAAAGGAGUUGGGUUAACAUGGGAAGAGGCCAAGCUCCAGGCUGCUGCUGAGGCUCUUGGAACUUUAAGAUCCAUGCUAGGUCAACUUGGUCAUAAACGAUCUGGCUCUCCAAGGUCAUUGGCACCAAAUUUUAACAAGCGGUUCAAGCCAGAUUUUCCAAGGACCGUACAAAGAGUUCCUUACGGAACAUAUUCUAGGAUCGAAGGUCAUGUUCCUUAAGAGGUCUGCAUAAAUGAUGUGCCUGGGCGCUAAACUUCAAAACUGGAUGAAGCUUUGAACUGUCAGGUCUUCACACAUUGAAUGCAAGCCGUAGAUUCCUGGCUUAUAGUUGGCUUCCAAGGCUCUCACAAGCUGCCACUGGCUGAGAGUACCGACGAAUAUAAAAUACGUACUUCAUUUAAGUAAGCGCCAAGAGAUUGAAGGAUUAAUGGUGGCCAUAACUUUAUGCAGAAUUUCAUUGCCAUGAUCUUACCAGUCACAAGUGUUACCCCAUGUUGUCAACUUGGCAUAAUCGUUGACCUGGAAGUUUAACGGUUGAACCAGGGACCGGCAUGCAGCUCCAUUUCUUUUUUGGUGUGUGUCCAUGGAUCAAAGAGCAGCGCCGUGGUUGGGCAUUUUUACCCUUCCUUUGGUUUAGGUGAAAGUUGGACCUCUGUAGCUCGGAGUCUUAGCAGGUAGCCAGUUUUUAUUUCUGAUAAGUUUUUAGGCAAGUUGUAAGUUGUAGCACAAAAUCGAUCACUUGAUAGUAUUAACAUUGCAUUGAUGUAGACAUGUAGUCAUCUUUGUAGCUGUACUCUAGGCAAGCAACACGAAUCCAGUGGCUUACAUCAUUCAUUUGUAUGCUGUAGUCAUCUUGUAAUAUAUGGCCCAUUUCUUUGCAA